AUGUGCAUGAAGCAGAGUAACCUGAUCCUUGCACUAGUUAUUCCCGGUCCAGAUCAUCCAGGAAAGAACCUAAACGUUUUUAUGCAGCCUCUAGUUGACGAACUUGAUGAUUUGUGGAGAAAUGGUGUAGAAACUUAUGAUAGUUAUCGAAAGCAAAAUUUCACCUUAAAGGCAGCUUUGCUUUCGACUAUUCAUGACUUUCCAGCUUAUGGAUUAGUAGCAUGCUGGAGCACUCAUGGAAAUCUUGCUUGCCCUAUAUGUGGAUCUGACAUAAAGACAUUCUCAUUGAAGAAUGGGAGAAAGCCAUGCUGGUUUGACUGCCAUAGGAGAUUCCUUCCCACUGACCAUGCAUUUCGUAGGAGUGUGAAAUGUUUUCGCAAGAAAAAAACAGUUUUAGAUCCUCCACCAAAGCACUUGUCCGGAGAAGAGGUGUAUGAAGAACUCCAAAGUCUUGUCCAUGAUGAAACUGGCAAGAGUGAAUUUGAGGGGUUUGGGAAGGAGCACAAUUGA
rnacentral:rRNA from 1 species